UGGGGAAUAUUGGGCAAUGGGGGGAACCCUGACCCAGCGACGCCGCGUGGGUGAAGAAAUCCUUCGGGAUGUAAAGCCCUGUUGUAUGGGAAGAGCAGAAGACGGUACCAUACGAGGAAGCCCCGGCAAACUACGUGCCAGCAGCCGCGGUAAUACGUAGGGGGCAAGCGUUGUCCGGAAUUACUGGGCGUAAAGCGCACGCAGGCUGAAUUAUAAGUCGGUAGUCAAAGGCGGAGGCUCAACUUCCGUU
rnacentral:rRNA from 1 species